CUCUCUCUCUCUCUCUCUCAUGCGUCUGCCCUCCUCCUUCCACGCUAUCUCUCUCGCUUUGUCUCCAUAGCUAUCCGCUAUAGGAGCAUCACCGCCAUCGCACCAACGUCAAUCCACCAUUGGAGCAUUACCCCAGGUGUUCAUGGGCAUUCUUCAAGUUUCAAGAAGUUGAGCAAAAGCACUUCAAAAAACAAAUUGUCUUGGAUCUAAAAUGCAGCCCUGUGGAACCAAUUUUUGUUUCUGCAGCAGCAUCCAGAGGGUACAU